CUAUGACCAUGUCCCACCACAAGUCGAGGAGAACGGCGAUUACAGUCACAUAACAACACGCAAUGCACAUAGCUCAGACAUUGCUGGAGAAUACGGAAAGAUCAGUUAGAUGAUUGCAGUUUUGUUUUAUAUUCUUUUGUUUAAACUUUUUUAUUCAUAAAUCAUUAAACGAAUGAUAAUUUUUUGAAGAGAACAUCAAUUGUAUUUUGUUUACAUGCACCAUGUAAAAGAUUGUUCAAGCUGAAAAGAAUGCACAGGUAGAAGAUCGCAAAUACAAGAUUCUUCAACUGUUUCUUAUGGUACAUGUAAUAUAUUGGAGCAAACGCAUGAGAGAGAGAGAGAGAGAGAGAGAGAGAGAGAGAGAGAGAGAGAGAGAGAGAGAGAGAGAGAGAUUAACGUUAAAUAUUCGGUUUCUCUAGCUACAUGUAAUAAGGUUUUUUUGAUAUUAUAAUGUUUCAUGGUAACUAUAUUCGGUUAAGAUUGCACACAAGCUUGAGAAUCAUCAGUUGUAUAUUGAGUGACGUUUCAUAAGACCAUGUUACACAAUACACAUGUAGUUAAGUCAGUCAAACAGUUUUUAAAUUAAGUAUCAUUUAUUCUUAGAUAGUGCUGUAACAUUUAUCGCACACGCUACUUUUUUAUGAAAAUAUAUGAUGUUUUAUUAAUGAACCAUAGCAUAGUCUUUUAUCCUUUUUAUUGAUUUUUGAAAGAAACUAUUUUUGAUUUGUAUUUUUCCUAUUAAAUAUUGCUUUU
rnacentral:misc_RNA from 1 species